rnacentral:lncRNA from 10 species
CUGCUCUACCUCUACCUCCACCUCUCUACCUCUCUACCUCUCUACCUCUACCUCUACCCACGGUCUCCCUCUCUUUCCAUGGUCUCCCUCUCAUGUGGAGCCGAAGCUGGACUGUACUGCUGCCAUCUCGGCUCACUGCAACCUCCCUGCCUGAUUCUCCUGCCUCAGCCUGCCGAGUGCCUGCGAUUGCAGGCACGCGCUGCCACGCCUGACUGGUUUUGGUGGAGACGGGGUUUCGCUGUGUUGGCCGGGCCGGUCUCCAGCCCCUAACCGCGAGUGAUCCGCCAGCCUCGGCCUCCCGAGGUGCCGGGAUUGCAGACGGAGUCUCGUUCACUCAGUGCUCAAUGGUGCCCAGGCUGGAGUGCAGUGGCGUGAUCUCGGCUCGCUACAACCUACACCUCCCAGCCGCCUGCCUUGGCCUCCCAAAGUGCCGAGAUUGCAGCCUCUGCCCAGCCGCCACCCCGUCUGGGAAGUGAGGAGUGUCUCUGCCUGGCCGCCCAUCGUCUGGGAUGUGAGGAGCCCCUCUGCCUGGCUGCCCAGUCUGGAAAGUGAGGAGCGUCUCCGCCCGGCCGCCAUCCCAUCUAGGAAGUGAGGAGUGCCUCUUCCCAGCCGCCAUCACAUCUAGGAAGUGAGGAGCGUCUCUGCCCGGCCGCCCAUCGUCUGAGAUGUGGGGAGCGCCUCUGCCCCGCCGCCCCAUCUGGGAUGUGAGGAGCGCCUCUGCCCGGCCGCGACCCCGUCUGGGAGGUGAGGAGCGUCUCUGCCCGGCCGCCCCGUCUGAGAAGUGAGGAGCCACCCCAUCUGGGAAGUGAGGAGCAUCUCCGCCCGGCAGCCACCCCGUCCGGGAGGGAGGUGGGGGGGUCAGCCCCCUGCCCGGCCAGCCGCCCCGUCCGGGAGGUGAGGGGCGCCUCUGCCCGGCCGCCCCUACUGGGAAGUGAGGAGCCCCUCUGCCCGGCCACCACCCCGUCUGGGAGGUGUGCCCAACAGCUCAUUGAGAACGGGCCAGGAUGACAAUGGCGGCUUUGUGGAAUAGAAAGGCGGGAAAGGUGGGGAAAAGAUUGAGAAAUCGGAUGGUUGCCGUGUCUCUGUAGAAAGAAGUAGACAUGGGAGACUUUUCAUUUUGUUCUGCACUAAGAAAAAUUCUUCUGCCUUGGGAUCCUGUUGAUCUGUGACCUUACCCCCAACCCUGUGCUCUCUGAAACAUGUGCUGUGUCCACUCAGGGUUAAAUGGAUUAAGGGCGGUGCAAGAUGUGCUUUGUUAAACAGAUGCUUGAAGGCAGCAUGCUCGUUAAGAGUCAUCACCAAUCCCUAAUCUCAAGUAAUCAGGGACACAAACACUGCGGAAGGCCGCAGGGUCCUCUGCCUAGGAAAACCAGAGACCUUUGUUCACUUGUUUAUCUGCUGACCUUCCCUCCACUGUUGUCCCAUGACCCUGCCAAAUCCCCCUCUGUGAGAAACACCCAAGAAUUAGCAAUAAAAAAAUAAAUUAAAAAAUAAAAAAAUAAAAAAAUAAAAAAAACUCAUUAAGCUCUAAAAAAAAAAAAAAAAAAGAAAGAAAAAAAGAAAGUAGUGACCAAUUCCUGAAAAUUGGCAAAAAAAAAAAAAAGGCAAGAGUAAGGCAUUUAUCUUGUCUUUCCAGUAUGAACUCUAGUUCAAAAUAACUGAUGAGAGGAAGGUUUUGUUUGU